UACGGAGGAUGCGAGCGUUAUCCGGAUUUAUUGGGUUUAAAGGGUGCGUAGGCGGAUCGUUAAGUCAGUGGUCAAAUUGAGGGGCUCAACCCCUUCCCGCCAUUGAAACUGGCGAUCUUGGGUGGAAGAGAAGUAUGCGGAAUGCGUGGUGUAGCGGUGAAAUGCAUAGAUAUCACGCAGAACCCCGAUUGCGAAGGCAGCAUGCCGGCUUCCUACUGACGCUGAAGCACGAAAGCGUGGGGAUCGAACAGG
rnacentral:rRNA from 1 species